GAGAUCGGCCGAUUAGAAGGUUGGAGCGAUUGGGCCAAUAUGGGCUUAAAAUAGGUCAAAGAAAGGAGAUAGAGAAAGUUUGGCCCGUGGGAGUACAAUAACCAACUCUGAUACGAGUUGUGUUUGUAAAUAUUCAUUUUUGUUUAAAAUUGGAGAUAGAUCCUAGUCGGUUAGGAAAUUGGUUGUAACAGGCUAUAAAUAGCCAUCUUUAGAGAUUUGUAAAGGACACAUCAAUCAAUACAAACAAUCUACUUUUUUCCUCGUACUUUACUUUCAAGUCGGCGACUUCGCCAAUACUUCUUUUUCCUUCAUGAGUUCGUACGGAUUGGCAGGACUGCAUCGACACGACCUCCGGCCGAUU
rnacentral:lncRNA from 1 species